rnacentral:rRNA from 1 species
GACGAACGCUGGCGGCGUGCCUAAUACAUGCAAGUCGAGCGAAUCAAUAGGAGCUUGCUCCUGUUGGUUAGCGGCGGACGGGUGAGUAACACGUGGGCAACCUGCCUGUAAGACUGGGAUAACACCGGGAAACCGGUGCUAAUACCGGAUAAUCCUUUUCCUCUCAUGAAGAAAAGCUGAAAGUCGGUUUCGGCUGACACUUACAGAUGGGCCCGCGGCGCAUUAGCAAGUUGGUGAGGUAACGGCUCACCAAGGCGACGAUGCGUAGCCGACCUGAGAGGGUGAUCGGCCACACUGGGACUGAGGCACGGCCCAGACUCCUACGGGAGGCAGCAGUAGGGAAUCUUCCACAAUGGACGAAAGUCUGAUGGAGCAACCCCGCGUGAGCGAUGAAGGCCUUCGGGUCGUAAAGCUCUGUUGUUAGGGAAGAACAAGUAUCGGAGUAACUGCCGGUACCUUGACGGUACCUAACCAGAAAGCCACGGCUAACUACGUGCCAGCAGCCGCGGUAACAC